AUUUAUAUAGUUUAUUAUAAAACCUUACAUUUUCAAUGUAAAAAUAAAAUACUAAUUUUUAUAAAUA
rnacentral:tRNA from 1 species